GGGCCGCACUCACACUCUGCUUUGCAGCCCUUGCAGAGACGACUUCUGCAAAACAUCCUAAAAUAAGACAAUUAACCAAAAAGCAUUUAUAAUAUCACGGGCAAGGGGCUGUGAAGACCUAAGCCCCCCGAUGUCAGUAGAAAAAGAUCAUCAGCACCUUGACAUUAACCUCAUAGAUGGAUACGUGACCAAAGCCCUGAUUGGCACGACUCAGCACACCCUGGUUGUUUAAAAGAGAGUUCUGCAAAAGAGCUCAUAAAACCCCUAAACUUAGGAACUCUGGGGGCAACCCACGGGGCCCCCCCGCCCUCUCUGGGAGAUUUAUACUUUUGCUCAAUAGACUUUGCUUGGCUGCCCGUCACUCUCCAUCCGGCCCACCUCUUUGUUCUUCCAAGCUGGGUGACCAAGAACCAUGGAUGCUUAAGGGAACACAGAUCCUAUAACACUUGUGCUCAACCAGUUGGUGGCUGUUUUAUGUAUUUUUAUCCAACGGAGUGCUUGGGGCAGCUGUUCCGUCCAGGAAGCUGCCUUUGUUGUUUGAAAUGAAGGGCACAGAGAAGCAGGGAAGAGCACGGUUUGGUAGCUGGGUCGGUGGGACACCACUGGUUGUGGUCAUCCGAAGUGUAGACGCGCUGCCGAUCCUCUCUGAGCCUCACCUUGCAGCGGGUGCUCUGAGGGCUUGAGCUCCUUCCCACCCCACAGCCAUCCUGAGGAGCAUUGCUACCUCCUUUUCCAGAGAAGUGAAGGGACUUCCCCAUGACCACAUGGCCAGGGAGGGAUGAGGCUCUGAGCGGGGCUCCGUGGACCUAGCAGCGUGGACCCAAAAUCUGAGCUCUUUGCUUCUCGAAGAGUCAUGCCAACAAGGGGUCCUGCCGAUCCUGUGUCGUUGAUCCAGACGAGCCACCACCCAGCCCUAGCGGCUCCACCGGGGCACCGGCCCAGCGGAGGAAUGACGCCGCACCUGGGCAGCCUGCGGCUCCACGGACCUGCCACUUCCAUGGCAACGGACCCUUUACCAAAGGAAAGGUGUGAAGUCACUUGGGACUGAAAUAGAACCGUUUUCACCUCCUUUGCUCCAGGGUGAAGGGACUUGGUGUUUCAGUCGGCCCAAGAAGAAAAAGACUCUGCGUUUAUGAAUGAGGAUGAUCACGUAAAACUCUUACUGCACUUACGUAGCUGAACGUCUUCCCAGAGAAAGCUGUUAAUCGUUGAUGGCACAGGAAGCACAGCGACUGAGCCUCAGAGAGAAACGGGGUUCCUGAUUUAUCAGCUGGAAAACACUCUAAUUGCUGGACGUAAGGUCUGCAAACCUGAGAACAGCACACGGUGCGUGCCAUAGUUACACAAAGGCUCUCUGUCCCUGCCCAAGCCGGGCGCUCCUUUUAUAAAGAAGUGGAGGCAAAGACUAUUUUUAACAAUAUUUUUAUUACGCAAACAAUAAAUAUUCGCUGAGGAACA
rnacentral:lncRNA from 12 species